rnacentral:rRNA from 1 species
AGAAUCAACGCUGGCGGCGUGCCUAACACAUGCAAGUCGAACGAGAAAGUGGAGCAAUCCAUGAGUAAAGUGGCGCACGGGUGAGUAACACGUGACUAACCUACCCUUGAGUGGGGGAUAACCUAGGGAAACCUGGGCUAAUACCGCAUAAUACCGAGAGGUCAAAGGAGCAAUUCGCUUAAGGAGGGGUCGCGGCCGAUUAGUUAGUUGGCGGGGUAAUGGCCCACCAAGACUAUGAUCGGUAUCCGGCCUGAGAGGGCGCACGGACACACUGGAACUGAAACACGGUCCAGACUCCUACGGGAGGCAGCAGUGGGGAAUUUGCGCAAUGGGGGAAACCCUGACGCAGCAACGCCGCGUGGAGGAUGAAGUCCCUUGGGACGUAAACUCCUUUCGAUCGGGACGAUUAUGACGGUACCGAGAGAAGAAGCCCCGGCUAACUUCGUGCCAGCAGCCGC